ensembl:lncRNA
AGCCCUGAAUGGUUUAGCACCUCAGUACCUGAGCGAUUUCAUAUCGCAUUAUAGUCCUUCACGUCCGCUCCGUUCUCAAAACUCUGGCAAUUUGAUAAUACCUAGAAUAUCACAGUCAACUGCGGGCGGCAGAUCCUUCUCCUAUUUAGCGUCUAAACUCUGGAAUAACCUACCUAACAUUGUUCAGGAGGCAGACACACUCUUGCAGUUUAAAUUUAGAUUAAAGACCCAUCUCUUUAACCUGGCUUACACAUAACACACUAACACAUUUCUAAUAUUCAAAUCUGUUAAAGGAUUGUUAUGCUGCAUUAAUUAACCGGGAGACACAGAUGCAAUUUGAACUGAACUAACCUGGAUGAUGACAUCACUGAAUCAAUAAUAAACUGACUUUAACUGAAAAAUUGACUCUUUGUUAUUGUUCUCAUGCUUUAUCGACACACUAUUUUCCUGUUUGACUCUGUAAAGUGCUUUGACACAACCAGUAAUGUAUAAAGUGCUACACAAAUAAAGGCGACUUGACUACAGUUUUAUUCCUCUUAUAUUAGCAAUUUCUACACACAUUAUGAUGGCAACUAAAACAGAGAAAGACAGAGAUUUCACCUCUGGCAUGCGAGUGCUGCAUUCUGUGGAAACCCAAAAAAAAAAAAAAAAAAAAAAAAAAAACUUUUUUGCUAAAUUCUUGCCAUUCUUUACAUACAUUUCUUUCUGUAAGGAAUGUCAUCUUUACCAAAUAAAGAAAUGCAUUAACAGAAUACAAAACACUAUUUUAACAUCUUUAUGAAUUUUCACAAAAACAGCUUUGAAAAUGAAGAAUGUCCUGUGUAAAUGAAUAGGCACACAUGCACUAUACUAGACAAAACCCCCAACAAUUAAACUAAAUUAUUUCAUAAACUUCAUUAAGCAUUGAUGUGUUGACAGGCAAACCCUCUGGUGUUAUUAGAAGACCAUGUAUUAUAAGUGAAACUUAGACAUCAGGAGAAAUAAAAUCAUACAAAUACACA